UGUCCAAAUUUAAAUUUUUUACAUGUAUGAUAUAUAAUAAUUUAUUGAUAUUUGAUAGGAAUUUUAUAAAUAAAAAAAUAAAAAGAGAGAGAGAGAGAGAGAAUUGGAUCAAGCUAUUUGGAGGGAUCCAUGCAAUUAAAUGAAGCAAGGGAGAAAGAGCCUUCACGUGGCGUGGUACAUGAGUUUGAAAGGAGUGGUUUGUUGGCGAGUUAACAGUUGUUCAAAUGCAC
rnacentral:lncRNA from 1 species